GUACACAAAAGCGCAUGUGUUGUGAGCUCGAUGAGUAGGGCGGGACACGUGGUAUCCUGUCUGAAUAUGGGGGGACCAUCCUCCAAGGCUAAAUACUCCUGACUGACCGAUAGUGAACCAGUACCGUGAGGGAAAGGCGAAAAGAACCCCGGCGAGGGGAGUGAAAAAGAACCUGAAACCGUGUACGUACAAGCAGUGGGAGCCCCACCACUAAGCCAGUGGUGAACUCCACAUACGCAUCCUUUGCUGAAGGUGCGGUUAACGGAGCGCAAGCGACGUUCAACCUCAAAAGAAGCAGAGGGGGCUUUGGGGUGGGGUGACUGCGUACCUUUUGUAUAAUGGGUCAGCGACUUAUAUUCUGUAGCAAGGUUAACCGUAUAGGGGAGCCGGAGGGAA
rnacentral:rRNA from 1 species